rnacentral:rRNA from 1 species
AUGGAGGUCGAGAAAGGACGCAAUAUAUCACGGAUCGGAGGAGAUGGAUGGGCUCGUUUCCUUGCCCACAUGCGUCUUACUGGUGGUGAGUUGAUCAGCUUCUCCUUCAGAGCAGAAAGACCCAAGUUGGCUGUCAUUUAUAUCAACCUGGUGGAAGAUGAUGAAGAUGACGAAGAUGAUGAAGAUAAUGAGGACCCACUCAAUGAAGAUGAUGAUGACCCACUUCAUGAAGCCAUCGUAGCUCAAAGAAUGAGGCUGAGCGAGGAGGAGGUGUGCAACCUAUGGGAGAUAAUUCCGCCACGUGCUGACUUUGUCAGGGUGCCAUUCGUGACCCGCCUGACAAGUACCAUGGUCGAUCGACAUGAUAUGAUCGAAAAAGGAGGACAAGGAAUGAGUUCGGGAAAUGGUGGGAAUCCCUGGUUCUCCAGUUCUUUACAGGCACCGUCAUGGGAUGUGCAUGGUUGUGACGAGCUAAACUCAACUAGCCCUUUGUUGCCACUACUACAGCAGUACUUGGACGCAGGGGCUCCGAACGCAGCUACUGCCACUUGGGGAGCACUGGCUAUGCCAGAGUCGCACGCAUACCAGAAUUCUCAACCAAACUACACUGAGCAGAUUGUCAUUCGCAAGGCAGGCAUGUCAAGAACCAGAAGAAACAGUAGUCUUGAAUCAGAUGUGAACAACUCAAGAGCAGAUGACUCAAACUCGGAUGCGGAGACAAUUGGUGAACAUGAGGAUGAAGAUGAACAAGCUGAUGACCAGGGAGAGGGUGAGACACAUGAGCAUGAGUGUGAAUAA